CGCUCUACCAAAACGCUUACCCAUGGCCAUGAUUACACAAAGCACUGAUACACGUUCGCUACUGAACAUGUGCGAAUUAGUGUGAUAAAUUAACAAAUUGUUGCAGAUGCAUAGCCUCGAUUCCAUCCGGAGGACCUGAGUUAUUUUUUAGCAACAUUCUUAGAUUCAUCUUAAAACUUGUGAUUUUAUAAUCCUCUAUAUACUAGCCAUCUGUAAAUAGUUCAAUUGAGACUAACAAGCAUACUCCACAAGUAAUUUAUAAUCUUUAUUGUUAGCAUACAGGCAAUUGAGUGGACAUCUUGUGGCUCUCUGGACAACUGAUCAUAUAACAGCAAUGGCACUGCUUGUGAGAAUAAUAGACUAAAGAAGAUCAUUUAUCCAUUCGUGACAAUGUAAAUCUUGCAGAAAGCUCUGGAAAAGCGAGAGGAACGUCAAGGAAUCAACUUGAAGGAUAUCUCUCGCAUAGGAGGACAAAAAUAGGAUUCAAAUCCAAGAAAGAUGUGAGAAUUUA